rnacentral:rRNA from 1 species
AAAGCGAGGAUGAUUAAAGGCGGGGAUCCUUCGGGACCUGUCGUUCGGAGAGGAGCCCGCGUGCCAUCAGCUUGUUGGUAAGGUAACGGCUUACCAAGGCUUACGGCUAGCUGGUCUGAGAGGAUGAUCAGCCACACUGGGACUGAGACACUGCCCAGACUCCUACGGGAGGCUGCAGUCGAGGAUCAUUCGCAAUGCGCGAAAGCGUGACGAUGCGACGCUGCGUGGAGGAUGAAGGCCCUAGGGUCGUAAACUCCUGUCAUUCGGGAAAAACGAGCUCAUGGUUAAUAGCCAUGGGCAGUGAUGGUACCGAAAGAGGAAGCCACGGCUAACUCUGUGCCAGCAGCCGCGGUAAUACAGAGGUGGCGAGCGUUGUUCGGAUUUACUGGGCGUAAAGGGUGCGUAGGUGGUUAUGUAUGUCGGAUGUGAAAGCCCACGGCUCAACCGUGGAAUGGCAUUCGAAACUGCAUAACUUGAGUACAGGAGGGGAGAGCGGAAUUCUUGGUGUAGCGGUGAAAUGCGUUGAUAUCAAGAAGAACACCGGUGGCGAAGGCGGCUCUCUGGAAUGUUACUGACACUGAGGCACGAAAGCUGGGGGAGCGAACAGGAUUAGAUACCCUGGUAGUCCCAGCCGUAAACGGUGUCGACUUGGUGUGGGGGGAAUUGACCCCCUCCGUGCCGGAGCUAACGCGUUAAGUCGACCGCCUGGGGAGUACGGCCGCAAGGCUAAAACUCAAAGAAAUUGACGGGGGCCCGCACAAGCGGAGGAGCAUGUGGCUUAAUUCGAUGCAACGCGAAGAACCUUACCAGGGCUUGACAUAUACCUGCACGCCCCGUGAAAGCGGGGUUCCUUCGAGGGUGGUAUACAGGUGCUGCAUGGCUGUCGUCAGUUCGUGCCGUGAGGUGUUGGGUUAAGUCCCGCAACGAACGCAACCCCUGUGUUUAGUUGCUACCAGGUAAUGCUGGGCACUCUAAACAGACUGCCUGUACAAGCAGGAGGAAGGUGGGGACGACGUCAAGUCAGUAUGGCCCUUACGCCCUGGGCUGCACACGUGCUACAAUGGUCGGUACAGAGGGAAGCAAUAUCGCGAGGUGGAGCUAAUCCUGAAAGCCGGUCCCAGUUCGGAUUGGAGUCUGCAACUCGACUCCAUGAAGUUGGAUUCGCUAGUAACGGCGUAUCAGCUACGACGCCGUGAAUACGUUCCCGGGCCUUGUACACACCGCCCGUCACAUCAUGAAAGCCGUCUGCACCCGAAGUCGCUGAGCCAACCAUUUAUUUGGAGGCAGGCGCCGAAGGUGUGGGUGUGAUUGGGAUGAAGUCGUAACAAGGUA